CCAGGCAAGUGAGCCUAAGGGGUAACAAAACAAAUGGUGUCAGGCAGGCCUUCAGGGCUCUGACCUCUAAGUGGUUAGAGUGGCGUUCGCUGACUGCACUCGUAACCAAAGAUAUAGCUAGGCGGUUGCCGACGCUAGAUGAGUGACUUUUAAUGCAUGUGCAUGCCGCUUGCGGCCUUCUUCUGCGCAGUUUACCCCCUUAAAACAAUUACUGAAGCGAGACAGCGCUCGCGUUACGGCGACGGAUCUAAAUGGAGGUGGUGCAGUGGUUAGCUCUUUUGCCUCACAUCUCUGGGACCUGGGUUCGAGUCUCCACCGGGGUCACAUGGUGUGUGAGUGUGCCCUGCGAUGGGCUGACAUCCCAUCCUGGGUUGUUCCCUGCCUUGUGCCCAUUGCUUCCGGGAUAGGCUCCGGACCCCCCGCGACCCAAUAGGAUAAGCGGUUUGGAAAAUGGAUGGAUGGAUGGAUAAUCGUAUUUUUAAAUAAUUUGUACUUAAAAAAUAGUCUGUGGUACAUUGGGCGGAGUUUAAAUUUGGACGUCAUUAUUUUUAUGAAUUAUGACAUCAUAAGCGGGAGGGGGAGCAUAUCCCUUAUUCUGAUUGGUCGAGGGGUUAUCUCCAUAUACCAUACAUUGCCGAUAGGGGGCCAUAUGGUUUGGGUGAUAAGGGUUGCCGUUAAACUUUAAUAGAAUAAAAAUACAUUACAUGUAUUUAUUUGUGUUAUUUUUAAUUACGUUUUCAAGGAAUAAUAAAACAUAUGGCAGGAUGAAUGCAAGCUAGCGCAUACACGUCCAGCGGGGCCCGUCCGGCCGCAGGCACGGGCUGUUAGGAGUAGGCACAAGCGCCACAGCGUAUUUUAAAAGAAUGUGGGGAUCUGAACGGGCUGGUAGGAGUAGUUGCGCGGCACUGGUAAUUACACUAUAUUGGCAACCACUUGAGCCAGGUCAUAUGACCUACCAGGAAGUUAUAAAAGGCUGCCAAGAUAGAAUCUCAUUCUCUUGCUGCUGUGUUUUACAACUGGACAUGGGAUGGGUUCUUCUUCCCUGUGGGUAAGGGAAGGAGGAGAGGGUUUGUUUGAGAACUUGAAUGUUUAAUUUUAAUUUUACCAGGGUGACUGCUAGCAGCAUGUAACUCUUCAUGGAGGACGCGGAGGUGACUGGAAUUUUAUCAUUUGACGUGAUCCCCUACGGGCUGCUGGGCUACAGACACUGAGGCUCUGCUGCAUGUUUGAACCUGAGACCAGUUUUGAAAUGGAGUCUGUUUCAGAAUACUACAUUCACACCCCCAAAACCUUCAUAUCCCAAAUACUGCAUCAUGAAAGGUGAAAAUUGGUAGGUUUAUGCUGGUGAAAUAAUGAAGAUAGAUGCUGCUGCUUUUAAAUCAUUCACAAGGUUGUUUAUUGAAAUGGUUUAUUGAAUGGCAUCUAACAAUUUGAAACACAUAUGGAGGUAUAAUAGACAUUCGCCUCAGAAUUAUAUUUCUGGUAUGUAAUUUUAUCUUUAAAGUGACCUUAUUAAAUUUGUUCCCCGAAGUAGUAAUUUCAUCCCACACCCUGAGGGCUUUUGCACGCUGGUUAUAUGUGCUGUUAGUAUGCUAACAGCAUUUUCUACCCAGGGAGUCUGAUCGAAAACCAAAAUCAAGCUGCUGCUGUGCGCUCCUGCUGAGCACCCUGCUUGGAGGCAUGUAGACUUGACGGACACUACGGAGUGUUCCAGUGACUGCCCACUAAUACAGGGAGUGCAGAAUUAUUAGGCAAAUGAGUAUUUUGUCCACAUCAUCCUCUUUAUGCAUGUUGUCUUACUCCAAGCUGUAUAGGCUCGAAAGCCUACUACCAAUUAAGCAUAUUAGGUGAUGUGCAUCUCUGUAAUGAGAAGGGGUGUGGUCUAAUGACAUCAACACCCUAUAUCAGGUGUGCAUAAUUAUUAGGCAGCUUAACAAAAAACAAAUACAUACCCAUUUCAAUUAUUUAUUUUUACCAGUGAAACCAAUAUAACAUCUCCACAUUCACAAAUAUACAUUUCUGACAUUCAAAAACAAAAUCAGUGACCAAUAUAGCCACCUUUCUUUGCAAGGACACUCAAAAGCCUGCCAUCCAUGGAUUCUGUCAGUGUUUUGAUCUGUUCACCAUCAACAUUGCGUGCAGCAGCAACCACAGCCUCCCAGACACUGUUCAGAGAGGUGUACUGUUUUCCCUCCUUGUAAAUCUCACAUUUGAUGAUGGACCACAGGUUCUCAAUGGGGUUCAGAUCAGGUGAACAAGGAGGCCAUGUCAUUAGUUUUUCUUCUUUUAUACCCUUUCUUGCCAGCCACGCUGUGGAGUACUUGGACGCGUGUGAUGGAGCAUUGUCCUGCAUGAAAAUCAUGUUUUUCUUGAAGGAUGCAGACUUCUUCCUGUACCACUGCUUGAAGAAGGUGUCUUCCAGAAACUGGCAGUAGGACUGGGAGUUGAGCUUGACUCCAUCCUCAACCCGAAAAGGCCCCACAAGCUCAUCUUUGAUGAUACCAGCCCAAACCAGUACUCCACCUCCACCUUGCUGGCGUCUAAGUCGGACUGGAGCUCUCUGCCCUUUACCAAUCCAGCCACGGGCCCAUCCAUCUGGCCCAUCAAGACUCACUCAUUUCAUCAGUCCAUAAAACCUUAGAAAAAUCAGUCUUGAGAUAUUUCUUGCCCCAGUCUUGACGUUUAAGCUUGUGUGUCUUGUUCAGUGGUGGUCGUCUUUCAGCCUUUCUUACCUUGGCCAUGUCUCUGAGUAUUGCACAACUUGUGCUUUUGGGCACUCCAGUGAUGUUGCAGCUCUGAAAUAUGGCGAAACUGGUGGCAAGUGGCAUCUUGGCAACUUUUCUCAGUUCAUGGGCAGUUAUUUUGCGCCUUGGUUUUUCCACACGCUUCUUGCGACCCUGUUGACUAUUUUGAAUGAAACGCUUGAUUGUUCGAUUGUUCAGAAGCUUUGCAAUUUUAAGAGUGCUGCAUCCCUCUGCAAGAUAUCUCAGUAUUUUUGACUUUUCUGAGCCUGCCAAGUCCUUCUUUUGACCCAUUUUGCCAAAGGAAAGGAAGUUGCCUAAUAAUUAUGCACACCUGAUAUAGGGUGUUGAUGUCAUUAGACCACACCCCUUCUCAUUACAGAGAUGCACAUCACCUAAUAUGCUUAAUUGGUAGUAGGCUUUCGAGCCUAUACAGCUUGGAGUAAGACAACAUGCAUAAAGAGGAUGAUGUGGACAAAAUACUCAUUUGCCUAAUAAUUCUGCACUCCCUGUACAUAUCUGCAUCAUAUAUGUGGGAAUGAUGAGAUUCCUUCCAUUGUUCAGCUUAAUCUUAAUCAUUAACAAUCGUUUGUUUAUAAGUAAAUGAAUUUUCUCUCUGUGUUCUUCCUAUCACAUUCCCUUGGGGUGUAUCGUAUUACAUUUUUAAAUGUUUUAAUGACAUAGUUUUAGGAACAUCAGCACCUGCACUGUAGUAUUCAAUUCAAUUUAUUUUAUAUAGCGCCUUUUAAUAAAGAAAGCCAGAAGACAAUGGAGGAGAGGAACCAAAAGCUCCCAAGUAAGGAGAAAAAAAACCUCUGGGGGUCCAAGGUCAACUGUCUGCCAACCCCCACUGGGAAAACUAACAUUACCGAAAACAGAAAAGAGUUGACAUGCUUGUGAAAAGAGAGAUUUAUGCUGGGAUUAAGAAUGAAGACAAAGUCCAUCAAUGAGUCCGUUAUCCAUGUUGGCCUGUGAAGGAUAGCCAAGGUCCAUUCUCCACGUUGGGCUGUGCUGGGUGGCACUGAAGGCUGCACCCACGGUGAUAUAUUUGGUAUGACCCAUUCGUGAUGUCACCCCUCCAUGGGACUGACCCAGGACUCCAGCUCAGAUGGUGCCCACUUCGGGCUCCACCCGGACAUGUGGGAAGGCAGAGAGUAUGGAUGGUCAGAACAUAUGUUGACACAUAAACGGACAAGCAUAGUAGAUAAAAAUGACAUGUGCAGCAGCACCAGCAGCCAUAGUUAUGGUGCGGUAGGUCGUGGGCAAGAUAAACUGAAGUAAUGGGUCUUAAAGGCCGAGAAUGAAUCGGCAUCCCGAACGUAGGCUGGUAAACCAUUCCACAAGUAUCACUCCUAGUGUGUAAAUCUUCCGGAACAUCAGCACCUGCACUGCAGUAUCACUCCUCCUGUCCUUUAAUACUACAAAGGGCAUUUCAUACUCCACCCCUGUGCAAAUGAGUCCCUGUUUCCUUCCUCCCUCCUCAUUUAAA